rnacentral:rRNA from 1 species
AGUGAACGCUGGCGGUGGGCCUAACACAUGCAAGUCGAACGAAAACACAAUAAGCUCUUGCUCUUGCCGUUAGCGACUGGCGGGCGGGUGAGGAGUACAUAAGCAUCUACUUUUUCUUGGGGGACAACGUAAGGCAACUUACGCUAAUACCGCAUACGACCUACGGCUUAGAUCAAUAGAUCUUCACAGCUUUCGCGACUGAUUUAGCCGAUGUCGCAUUAGCUAGUUGGCUUGGUAAGGGCCCACCAAGGCGACGAUACGUAGCUGGUCUGAGAGGAUGAUCAGCCACACUGGAACUGAGACACGGUCCAGACUCCUACGGGAGGCAGCAGUGGGGAAUAUUGGACAAUGGGCGCAAGCCUGAUCCAGCCAUGCCGCGUGGGUGAAGAAGGCCUUCGGGUUGUAAAGCCCUGUUAUUGGGAAAGAACAGCUGUGUGAGAAAAUAUCCCCGUUUUGACGGUACCUAAACAGAAAGCCCCGGCUAACUUCGUG